rnacentral:rRNA from 1 species
GAUGAACGCUGGCGGCGUGCCUAACACAUGCAAGUCGAGCGGACGGACGCGGCGCUUGCUUUUCUCUUGUUAGCGGCGCGCGGGUGUGUAACACGUGGAUCACCUACCUAUCAGACUGGGAUCUCUUCGAGAAACCGGAGCUAAUACCGGAUAAUAUUUUGAAGCACAGGGGUCAAUAGAGAAAGUCGGUCUUGCUGUCACUUAUAGCUGGAUCCGGGCUGCUUUAGCUAGUUGGUAAGGUAACGGCUUACCAAGGCUACGAUGCGUAGCCGACCUGAGAGGGUGGUCGGCCACACUGGAAGUGAGACACGGUCCAGACUCCUACGGGACGCAGCAGUCGGGAAUGUUACGCAAUGGGCGAAAGCCUGACGGAGCAACGCCGCGUGAGUGAUGGAGGCCUUCGGAUCGUAAAACUCUGUUAUUAGGGAAGAACAGAUGUGUACGUAACUGUGCAGAGCGUGACGGUACCGAAUCAGAAAGCCACGGCUAACUACGUG